rnacentral:lncRNA from 1 species
CGAAAUUGCAAAUUUAAAGGACAAGUUACAAUUAGUUUCAAUAUUAGGAGCAGGACUCCUUGUUGGUACUGCGCUAGCGAUUAUACCUGACUGUACCUGAGGGUGUAAGAGCAUUAUUUACUGUGGAUGGUAUUAAAUAAUGAAAAAGGCAAUUUACAUACUUUAACUUGGAAUUAGUUUAGUACUUGGUUUAUGCUUUUAAUUGAUCAAUGUUCAGCCAGAAAAAGUGGAGGAAGACAAGAAAAGUAUUACAGCAACUUUAGGUCUUAUAGUAGAUGCUGCUAGUUGAUUGGCGGUGUUGCAUUGGGAGGCUGCUGCUACUACAUCUCAAGCUGAUGUCGAAGUGUCUUAGUUUUUCUUCGCAAUAAUGUUACACAAGGCGCCAGAUGCAUUUGGACUUGUGUCAAUUUCUUCUUCAUGAAGGUGUAGAUAGAAAGUAAGAAAAUAAGCAGACACUUAUUAAUUUUCUCUCUUGCGGCACCGUGUCUUGCACUUGUGACAUAUUUUGGAAUUGGAAAAGUAAUGUGAGUGAGUAAUAGUAUAUGGAAUGUAUCGCAAGAUGUGUACACAUACAGUUACACCCCAUAUGCGCACUAUACUUGUUUCUUUUGCUGUAUACAUAUGCGUAUUGUUUAAUAGAAACAUUUAUUAUCUGAAAGGAAAAAAUGUUCCUGCUGAUGCACAAAAGCGUAACGUCAUAUACUGAUAUAUCUAAACACUUAUGAUACUUGCCCUACAGAAUGACAUAAUUUAGAUAAGGAAAAUAC